GACGAACGCUGGCGGCGUGCUUAACACAUGCAAGUCGAACGGAAAGGCCCCCUUGUGGGGUACUCGAGUGGCGAACGGGUGAGUAACACGUGAGUAACCUACCCUUGACUUUGGGAUAACUUCAGGAAACUGGGGCUAAUACCGGAUAGGAGCUCCUGCUGCAUGGUGGGGGUUGGAAAGUUUCGGCGGUUGGGGAUGGACUCGCGGCUUAUCAGCUUGUUGGUGGGGUAGUGGCUCACCAAGGCUUUGACGGGUAGCCGGCCUGAGAGGGUGGCCGGCCACAUUGGGACUGAGAUACGGCCCAGACUCCUACGGGGGGCAGCAGUGGGGAAUAUUGCACAAUGGGCGGAAGCCUGAUGCAGCAACGCCGCGUGCGGGAUGACGGCCUUCGGGUUGUAAACCGCUUUCGCCUGUGACGAAGCGUGAGUGACGGUAAUGGGUAAAGAAGCACCGGCUAACUACGUG
rnacentral:rRNA from 1 species